AGGUUGCGCAGCGCGGGCGGGCUCGCUGUGCGCGCCCACCGGAGCAGGCAGAGGCAGAAACGGCACCGGAGAUGAGAACCCAGCCGGGCAGCAAGCACCCGCUCUGAGGGGAGCUGAGCCCAAAACCAAGGCCCGCGGCUUCGCUGUUCCCUUGGCAAUGGCGAGCUUUGGGCGCAGCUGUGUCUGACACAGCAGCAGCCACUGCUCCCACCAGCUCUCGGGGAAAAAGGAAGAUUCACUUUCUUUUUUGGUUUUUUGUGGUUUUUUUGGUUUGUUUUUUUUUUUUUUUUUUCCCCCAUCGUAGUAAACAGCACAGAAUAAAGUAAGCUUUCCAGCCCUGGAAAUAGGAUUUGUAUAGAAAGCAUUAACCGAGGAGCUCUGAAGGUGCAGCAGUGGAGGUGUCUCUCUCCACAGAUCGAACCCGGCCACUUCAUAGCAUGGGUGAAGUUUUACAGAAUGUAUUUAUCAGUUCAGUCUGAUCAUUUCAAAAGCAGAAAAGCUGAACUGCUUGGAGUAGCGUAAGAAUCAAAGACUUAGCUUCACACCUCUCAACCAGCAUGAUCAUAAGACAAGUUCCUUUUUCACUAUUUACAUAUGCUUGAUCUGUCCUACAGAUGGGCGUUGGUUGGUUUGGAAUCCUCCUGCUGGUUUCAGACUGUGGUGGAAAGCCAUUCAUGCAUGGCACAAAGCAGAAACAUUACCAGAUGGAUGAAUCUUCCAGAAUUGAUCAUCUACGAGAAGCAAGCUCUUUGCUUUGCAGCCCAUAUCACCAACUCAAACACAAACAGCUGACUAAUGAAGCACCUCUAACUUCCUGAAGAGGAGGGGUUUUUGAGGAGCUACAGAAAGCAACUGGUACCAGACUAAUAAGAACAACAACGUCACCCUCAAGUUUUAAGGUAUUCACAGCUCAGCUGAAUGUGGCUGCUGUGUUUACAGAAACCCAAAAGAGUCCUUCCGUAACAAAAAGAGAAGCAAGAUCUUACAUUUUAAGGGGCACGAUUCCUAUACUUACAGGUCCCAUAAUAGUUGCUUGCCAAUGAAACACUGAAAGGCAAAAAAAAAAAA